rnacentral:rRNA from 1 species
GACAGAGGGUGCAAACGUUGUUCGGAAUUACUGGGCGUAAAGCGCGUGUAGGCUGCUCUGCAAGUCGGAUGUGAAAGCCCUGGGCUCAACCUAGGAAGUGCACUCGAAACUGCAAAGCUGGAGUCCUGGAGAGGAAGGCGGAAUUCUCGGUGUAGAGGUGAAAUUCGUAGAUAUCGAGAGGAACACCGGUGGCGAAGGCGGCCUUCUGGACAGUGACGUGACGCUGAGACGCGAAA